rnacentral:ncRNA from 1 species
UGUCCAAGGCAAACCCGUUGCAAGGCGGGGGCGCAAAGCCACAGGUCUCGCAGUUUUCCGGCGAGAUGGCUGGGUUGCCG